UCAUGUUAUUGUUCAUAGUGAUCCAGGGUAUAUUUCACUACAGAUACAAGCUUUAAACCUCGUUUUUAUAACAUCACUGUACAACCUGCAUCACCUCACACCACAGGUCAUGAGACUGAUAGUUCACAUCUUUGCUGCAAUAUUCGCUUUGAACGUCCUGGGACGACCCUCCUUGCAGCUAGAGCAAUCAGUUCUGGAUCUAUUUCCAGAGUUCACUAGGUUGAAACAGGAUAUCAAGUCUGAACUAGCAUCUAUAAAGUCGAAGCUUCAGAGUGGACAAGAUAAGAGAGUUGCAUUUCAUGCAAAACUACAACCAAGGGUUGAAAUUAUGGAGCC